CCUACGGGUGGCAGCAGUGGGGGAUAUUGCACAAUGGGGGAAACCCUGAUGCAGCGACGCCGCGUGGGUGAAGAAGCGCCUCGGCGCGUAAAGCCCUGUCAGCAGGGAAGAAAAUGACGGUACCUGAAGAAGAAGCCCCGGGUAACUACGGGCCAGCAGCCGCGGUAAUACGUAGGGGGCAAGCGUUAUCCGGAUUUACUGGGUGUAAAGGGGGCGCAGACGGGGAUGCAAGCCAGGAGUGAAAGCCCGGGGCCCAACCCCGGGACUGCUGUUGGAACUGCGUGGCUAGAGUGCAGGAGGGGCAGGCGGAAUUCGUGGUGUAGCGGUGAAAUGCGUAGAUAUCGGGAGGAACACCGGUGGCGAAGGCGGCCUGCUGGACUGCAACUGACGUUGAGGCCCGAAAGCGUGGGGAGCAAACAGGAUUAGAUACCCUUGUAGUC
rnacentral:rRNA from 1 species